rnacentral:rRNA from 1 species
UACGUAGGGCGCAAGCGUUGUCCGGAAUUAUUGGGCGUAAAGAGCUCGUAGGCGGCUUGUCACGUCGGGUGUGAAAGCCCGGGGCUUAACCCCGGGACUGCAUUCGAUACGGGCUAGCUAGAGUGUGGUAGGGGAGAUCGGAAUUCCUGGUGUAGCGGUGAAAUGCGCAGAUAUCAGGAGGAACACCGGUGGCGAAGGCGGAUCUCUGGGCCAUUACUGACGCUGAGGAGCGAAAGCGUGGGGAGCGAACAGG